GGAAGGAUCAUUAACACUAAUCCAAAACAACUCAACCAAGCCUUUAGUUGCAGCCGUAGUACUUGCUAGCGAAAGCGGGCAGUGCCGCAGCUGCGACAACAACAAACCUAAUCCACACAAAGGAAUCUAAUUAAGAUCAACAAAAAAACCAAAUUCUCAACGAUGGAUAUCUUGGUUCCCAUAACGAUGAAGAACGCAGCGAAGUGCGAUAAGCAAUGCGAAUUGCAGAACCGUGAGUCAUCAGAUUUUUGAACGCAACUGGCGCCGGCUGGCUCUCCAGUCGGCAUGCUUGUUUCAGUGUCUUUUUAUCUCAUCACCCAAAUCUUAAUGCGAGAGAUACCCUUCUCUCGUCAAGCAUGAAAGCACUCUGCGCUCUGCGAGCGAUUUCGACUUGUUCGAGGUCGCACUCAAUGCAGCGGUCACAUUCUAGCAAUGUGAACUCAUUGAGAGUAGAGGCAGUGCAGCCUUACAGCUGCCAGUGCUUAGACACACAAACUUUCUUUGUAUCUGAAAUCAAGCAGGAUCACCCGCUGAACUUAAGCAUAUCAAUAAGCGGAGGAGAAGAAAAUAACUAUGAUUGCCUCAGUAACGGCGAGUGAAGCGGCAAAAGCCCAAACUGGAAAUCUUGUGCACUACGUGUACACGAAUUGUAAUCUAGAGGGGGUUCGCUCAACGGGCGGUGGCGCAGAAGUGACCUUGAACGGUCCGCCAGAGAGGGUGACAGCCCCGUAUGUGGUGCCACUGCUUAACGAGCGGGUUCUCAACGAGUCGGGUUGUUUUGUAUUGCAGCCCUAAGUGGGAGAUAAACUUCUUCUAAGGCUAAAUAUCUAUGGGAAACCGAUAGCGAACAAGUACUGUGAAGGAAAGAUGAAAAGAACUUUGAAAAGAGAGUCAAAAGACUUGAAAUCGUUGAGAAGGAAGGAGUAGAAAUUUAUCCUACGGCGGAGGACGGUGUUAGUCGCCAAACCAUUGCAGGCUUCGAGAACGUCAAAGGCUCAGGUUUGCACGUGGGGAAGUGGCUGGCUUGGACUCCGCAGUGAGGCAAGAUGGGGUCGUGUGGCCUCAAAGGCUUCUCAAGAUAAGGUCCCUUCGGGGGUCAGCUUGGGUUUGCUAGGGGACAUGCGGCCUGAGGAAGCUUCGGCGAUCUUGCCAAAAUGGUUUUUACUCACCCGUCUUGAAACACGGACCAAGGAGUCUAACACAUAUGCGAGUGUGCUGGUGGAAAAACCAACACGCGUAAUGAAAGUAAGUGAUGCCAAGCGCAAGCGGCAGCAUCAACCGACCAUGAUCCUCUGGUGAAAGGUUUGAGUAUGAGCAUAUCUGUUAGGACCCGAAAGAUGGUGAACUAUGCCUGAGUAGGGUGAAGCCAGGGGAAACUCUGGUGGAGGCUCGUAGCGGUUCUGACGUGCAAAUCGAUCGUCAAACUUGGGUAUAGGGGCGAAAGACUAAUCGAACCAUCUAGUAGCUGGUUCCCUC
rnacentral:misc_RNA from 1 species